UACGAAGGGGGCUAGCGUUGCUCGGAAUCACUGGGCGUAAAGGGUGCGUAGGCGGGUCUUUAAGUCAGGGGUGAAAUCCUGGAGCUCAACUCCAGAACUGCCUUUGAUACUGAAGAUCUUGAGUCGGGAGAGGUGAGUGGAACUGCGAGUGUAGAGGUGAAAUGUAGAUAUCGCAAGAACACCAGUGGCGAAGGCGGCUCACUGGCCCGAUACUGACGCUGAGGCACGAAAACGUGGGGAGCAAACAGG
rnacentral:rRNA from 1 species